CAAAUGUGCCGUGAUGUAUGUGAACAGAUUUUCUCCUCAAAAAGUGAAUCCCGACUAAAACAUCUGUUGCAGCGAGCCCCAGAUUAUUGCCCAGAGACAAUGGUGUGUUUAAGAAGUCUGAUGGCUGGGUUGGCUUAGGCUGCUGUGAACUGGCUAUUGCCUUGGAGUGUCGACAGGCAUGCAAGCAGGCAUCUUCAAAGAAUGAUAUUUCCAAAGUUUGCAGAAAAGAAUAUGAGGUAUGCAUUUUAUUUAACAAAUGUGGAUAGCCUAUUCAGAUGUUAUCAGAAUUAACAAAAUUACUUAAAUUUUUAAAAUGAAUUUAUUUUUAUACAACUUCCCUUUUACCUUACAGAAAAUUUUGCAUUGACAAAAAUGUCAUUUACUGUGUUCGGAAAUGUUAUGAUUUUAGUUGAUUUUUGUUGAAAUGAAGUAUUAAUUUUAAAGAAAUGCCUAAAUCUCACAUACAAAGGAUUUAACCUAUAAUAUUUUUAUAACAAAGCAACUAGUUGUACCCAAGGUUGUGAAAUAGUUUUUCUCGUGUUUCAUGUUCUCUUUUGUCUCAUCUCCUAUCUCUUGACCCAUCCAGGUGGUAUUCAUUUCUAUAAACUACCUCUAAUC
rnacentral:lncRNA from 1 species